rnacentral:rRNA from 1 species
AGCUCCGGCGCCUAAGGAUGGGUCUGCGGCCUAUCAGGUAGUAGUGGGUGUAGCGUACCUACUAGCCUACGACGGGUACGGGUUGUGAGAGCAAGAGCCCGGAGAUGGAUUCUGAGACACGAAUCCAGGCCCUACGGGGUGCAGCAGGCGCGAAAACUUUACAAUGCUGGCAACAGCGAUAAGGGAACCUCGAGUGCCAGGUUACAAAUCUGGCUGUCGAGAUGCCUAAAAAGCAUUUCAUAGCAAGGGCCGGGCAAGACCGGUGCCAGCCGCCGCGGUAACACCGGCGGCUCGAGUGGUAACCGUUAUUAUUGGGUCUAAAGGGUCUGUAGCCGGCCGGAUAAGUCUCUUGAGAAAUCUGGCAGCUUAACUGUCAGGCUUUCAGGAGAUACUGUCUGGCUCGAGGCCGGGAGAGGUGAGAGGUACUUCAGGGGUAGGGGUGAAAUCUUGUAAUCCUUGAAGGACCACCAGUGGCGAAGGCGUCUCACCAGAACGGACCUGACGGCAAGGGACGAAAGCUAGGGGCACGAACCGGAUUAGAUACCCGGGUAGUCCUAGCCGUAAACGAUACUCGCUAGGUGUCGGCCACGGUGCGACCGUUGUCGGUGCCGUAGGGAAGCCGUGAAGCGAGC